rnacentral:rRNA from 1 species
GGGUUGUGAGGUUAAGCGACUAAGCGUACACGGUGGAUGCCCUGGCAGUCAGAGGCGAUGAAGGACGUGCUAAUCUGCGAAAAGCGUCGGUAAGGUGAUAUGAACCGUUAUAACCGGCGAUGUCCGAAUGGGGAAACCCAGUGCAAUUCGUUGCACUAUCGUUAACUGAAUACAUAGGUUAACGAGGCGAACCGGGGGAACUGAAACAUCUAAGUACCCCGAGGAAAAGAAAUCAACCGAGAUUCCCCCAGUAGCGGCGAGCGAACGGGGAGCAGCCCAGAGUCUGAAUCAGCUUGUGUGUUAGUGGAACGGUCUGGAAAGUCCGACGGUACAGGGUGAUAGUCCCGUACACCAAAAUGCACAGGCUGUGAACUCGAAGAGUAGGGCGGGACACGUGGUAUCCUGUCUGAAUAUGGGGGGACCAUCCUCCAAGGCUAAAUACUCCUGACUGACCGAUAGUGAACCAGUACCGUGAGGGAAAGGCGAAAAGAACCCCGGCGAGGGGAGUGAAAAAGAACCUGAAACCGUGUACGUACAAGCAGUGGGAGCACCUUCGGGUGUGACUGCGUACCUUUUGUAUAAUGGGUCAGCGACUUAUAUUCUGUAGCAAGGUUAACCGUAUAGGGGAGCCGCAGGGAAACCGAGUCUUAACUGGGCGUUAAGUUGCAGGGUAUAGACCCGAAACCCGGUGAUCUAGCCAUGGGCAGGUUGAAGGUUGGGUAACACUAACUGGAGGACCGAACCGACUAAUGUUGAAAAAUUAGCGGAUGACUUGUGGCUGGGGGUGAAAGGCCAAUCAAACCGGGAGAUAGCUGGUUCUCCCCGAAAGCUAUUUAGGUAGCGCCUCGUGAACUCAUCUUCGGGGGUAGAGCACUGUUUCGGCUAGGGGGUCAUCCCGACUUACCAACCCGAUGCAAACUACGAAUACCGAAGAAUGUUAUCACGGGAGACACACGGCGGGUGCUAACGUCCGUCGUGAAGAGGGAAACAACCCAGACCGCCAGCUAAGGUCCCAAAGUCAUGGUUAAGUGGGAAACGAUGUGGGAAGGCACAGACAGCCAGGAUGUUGGCUUAGAAGCAGCCAUCAUUUAAAGAAAGCGUAAUAGCUCACUGGUCGAGUCGGCCUGCGCGGAAGAUGUAACGGGGCUAAACCAUGCACCGAAGCUGCGGCAGCGACACUAUGUGUUGUUGGGUAGGGGAGCGUUCUGUAAGCCUGCGAAGGUGACCUGUGAGGGUUGCUGGAGGUAUCAGAAGUGCGAAUGCUGACAUAAGUAACGAUAAAGCGGGUGAAAAGCCCGCUCGCCGGAAGACCAAGGGUUCCUGUCCAACGUUAAUCGGGGCAGGGUGAGUCGACCCCUAAGGCGAGGCCGAAAGGCGUAGUCGAUGGGAAACAGGUUAAUAUUCCUGUACUUGGUGUUACUGCGAAGGGGGGACGGAGAAGGCUAUGUUAGCCGGGCGACGGUUGUCCCGGUUUAAGCAUGUAGGCUGAUUGUCCAGGCAAAUCCGGAUAAUCAAGGCUGAGGUGUGAUGACGAGGCACUACGGUGCUGAAGUAACAAAUGCCCUGCUUCCAGGAAAAGCCUCUAAGCAUCAGGUAACAUUAAAUCGUACCCCAAACCGACACAGGUGGUCAGGUAGAGAAUACCAAGGCGCUUGAGAGAACUCGGGUGAAGGAACUAGGCAAAAUGGUGCCGUAACUUCGGGAGAAGGCACGCUGGUGUGUAGGUGAAGCCCCCGCGGGUGGAGCUGAGACCAGUCGAAGAUACCAGCUGGCUGCAACUGUUUAUUAAAAACACAGCACUGUGCAAACACGAAAGUGGACGUAUACGGUGUGACGCCUGCCCGGUGCCGGAAGGUUAAUUGAUGGGGUUAUCCGUAAGGAGAAGCUCUUGAUCGAAGCCCCGGUAAACGGCGGCCGUAACUAUAACGGUCCUAAGGUAGCGAAAUUCCUUGUCGGGUAAGUUCCGACCUGCACGAAUGGCGUAAUGAUGGCCAGGCUGUCUCCACCCGAGACUCAGUGAAAUUGAACUCGCUGUGAAGAUGCAGUGUACCCGCGGCAAGACGGAAAGACCCCGUGAACCUUUACUAUAGCUUGACACUGAACAUUGAGCCUUGAUGUGUAGGAUAGGUGGGAGGCUUUGAAGCGUGGACGCCAGUCUGCGUGGAGCCAACCUUGAAAUACCACCCUUUAAUGUUUGAUGUUCUAACGUUGGCCCCUGACCGGGGUUGCGGACAGUGUCUGGUGGGUAGUUUGACUGGGGCGGUCUCCUCCCAAAGCGUAACGGAGGAGCACGAAGGUUAGCUAAUCCUGGUCGGACAUCAGGAGGUUAGUGCAAUGGCAUAAGCUAGCUUGACUGCGAGCGUGACGGCGCGAGCAGGUGCGAAAGCAGGUCAUAGUGAUCCGGUGGUUCUGAAUGGAAGGGCCAUCGCUCAACGGAUAAAAGGUACUCCGGGGAUAACAGGCUGAUACCGCCCAAGAGUUCAUAUCGACGGCGGUGUUUGGCACCUCGAUGUCGGCUCAUCACAUCCUGGGGCUGAAGUAGGUCCCAAGGGUAUGGCUGUUCGCCAUUUAAAGUGGUACGCGAGCUGGGUUUAGAACGUCGUGAGACAGUUCGGUCCCUAUCUGCCGUGGGCGCUGGAGAAUUGAGGGGGGCUGCUCCUAGUACGAGAGGACCGGAGUGGACGCAUCACUGGUGUUCGGGUUGUCAUGCCAAUGGCACUGCCCGGUAGCUAAAUGCGGAAGAGAUAAGUGCUGAAAGCAUCUAAGCACGAAACUUGCCCCGAGAUGAGUUCUCCCUGAGACUAUAAGUCUCCUGAAGGAACGUUAAAGACGAUGACGUUGAUAGGCCGGGUGUGUAAGCGCAGCGAUGCGUUGAGCUAACCGGUACUAAUGAACCGUGAGGCUUAACCUUACAACGCCGAAG